rnacentral:tRNA from 2 species
GGCCCUAUCGUCUAGUGGUUAGGACGCUCGGUUUUGAUCCGCGCAACCUGGGUUCGAAUCCCAGUAGGACCU